UACGGGGGGGGCAAGCGUUGUUCGGAAUUACUGGGCGUAAAGGGCUCGUAGGCGGCCAACUAAGUCAGACGUGAAAUCCCCCGGCUUAACCGGGGAACUGCGUCUGAUACUGGAUGGCUCGAGUUUGGGAGAGGGAUGCGGAAUUCCAGGUGUAGCGGUGAAAUGCGUAGAUAUCUGGAGGAACACCGGUGGCGAAGGCAGCAUCCUGGACCAACACUGACGCUGAGGAGCGAAAGCCAGGGGAGCAAACGGG
rnacentral:rRNA from 1 species